AAAUCACAAACCAACCACCCGCACGUACGACCGAGGUCUCUUGCCCUCGAGCGAGAAACAGUCGCCCAACUCUGUGCCCUCGUUCGCCGCCGCUGCCCUUCGUCCUCUCACCACCACCGCUAGAUCCCUUCGCCGCCGCUCGGUGCCGCCAGGCCCCGACCUCCUCCCCGGCUCCCGGCGCCGCCCGCCCCCCAUCUGCUCCCCCGAUCCCGGCUAAGCCCGGCCCCACCUUCUCUCUCACUCUUGGCGGUGAUCCCCGUGGUGUCCCCGGACCGGAGGCCGUCGAGGAUGUAGAGCGCCGGGAGCGCGGCGCCGACGAGGAACCCCCCAUGAUGUGCGCGGCGAGGAGGAGGCGCUCGGGGCGGAGGAAGACGGGCGCGGACGGGUUGGGCUUCCUGGGCGCUGCGGGAAGGUGAGCCUGGCUAGGAGGAGUAGGUAGGGAAAGGACGGCGGCUCGCCGGCAGGUCACCGGCGCCGGGAGGCGGCGAGGUCGUCUCUCUCGCUCGCCUCUCCCCUUCUCCCCAUCUCGCAUCUCCUUCUUGCACCGUCGGUGCUGCCGUCCAGUACGUGCCGCGGCGAUCCCCAUGAUGCGCUGGCCAUCUGAACCAGAUCGGCGCCGACGAGAAGUCUCUAAUGUCCCGUGCGGCGGCCACGGGUCCAUCUUAAGUCGGCGGCGAGCUAUGGUGAGGUACACAUGGCGCUGAUGGAUGCACUGUACAGGGGCGCCGCCGCCACUGAGCUGGCCACCGGCUUUUGCCUGUCGUGCUGCCGCGACGGGCACUCCCUCCUCGGCUUUGCCAGGGUCCUCCUGCCCUGCGUUUAUGUGCUGCUCCUCGUCAUCAUCUCCGUGGGCAAUGCCCUUGAACCCCAUUCUCCAACCAUCUGGCAGCGUGCUGGACGUCGUCCUCCUCGACGCAGCCGUCCCCGACGAGCUCUCUUUGUCGGAGGAGGUGGGGCAGCAAGGCCUCCUAUCCUCCAGCGCGUGGACCGACGGCUGAGUCCUCCUGCUCUCCUAGCGUGAUGAAAAGAGUCCACAUGGUUUCUCAUGAGUUUUCCACAUGGAGCAAAGGCAACGUAUGCCUAUGACGAUGUAUGUAGGUCUGAACACCAUGGCAAUCUCAAUCUUGUUCGGCAUCCAAUGGCUCCUAAUUCUUUUACAACGGCUCUGCUCGGGAUUUGUGUCGAUGACGUCCAUUGACAAAGUGGUUCCAAGAGGUAGAGAGGCUGGUGCGGGACGUUGUGGAGAGUGACGUCAAAUGGGGGUCUGUCCGGGCAUCACUGCUGCUGGAGCUGCAGCGCCGGUACACGGAGAUCAACGGGAAGAGGGCCAUCAACGAGACCCGCAUGAGCCUCAUGGAGGAGGACCCAUAUGUACUAACAUACACAAGAUGACAGAGAAGUUCUCCGCUCUUCAGCUCAAAGUGAAGGAGGUGGAUGCAUUGCAGAAUCACUCCUCCAACAGGUGAACUAAUUAAUUUGCAUUGUCUUCUUUUUGAACUUAUUUCUGAAAGCAGUUUCUGAACUCUGAAAUUGUGUGACUAAUGCUGAAGUGAUAUGUUGUGUUAACUCCUUUUGAAUCUCUUGAUUCUUUUGAUUCUCUUAAAUCAUUGCAAUCUCUUGACCCGAGGGCUACCGAUGAGUCUCCGCGGCGGAUAUCCCCCCAAAAAGAUAAAGAAACAGAUCCCCAUGGAGAUUCCCUCACUGCACGGAAGCCUUCUUGGACAGCGACCUCACUACCCAGCCGGUAGCAGCGUCGCCUUCCUGGUAGGCACCCGGCGGAUGGGUUCCUGGUGGACCGUCCCGUGCAGUCCGAUGACUGCGUGGCCGCGCUCAUCCAGACGGAGAUGGAGCACAUGCCCGUGGACGGGUACCCCCAGAUGCUGCGGCGGCUCGGGGCCUUGUAUUUGGCCGCCAUCACGAGGGACACCAUAGAUAGGACCUGGAAGGUUCCUCUCGGUAGCAACUGAAGCAACCCUGCUAAAAUCCCAUAAAGUACUUGUUGGAAUCAUGGAGAAAUUGGUUUCUCAUGGCUUGCUUGUGUGACAUAGCUCUUGGCAGUGACUUGCUUCUGUCUCGCUCGUGGACCAGCAGGUCAGUGACUGAUGCAUCUCAUCUCAUGAAAGACCUCCUCAUACAUCGUUGAGGGGUUCUGUCUUCUCAGUUUUGUCUCAAUUAAUCAAUGGUUUUUGCUUGACACACGAUUGAGGCAAAGUCUGUGUUUGAGGCAAGGACAAUAAAAAUGAUGGAGCUUUUGGUGCUCAGCACCUUGAAAUGGAGGAUGCAAGUUGUUACUGCUUGCUCGUUUAUUGGCUACUUCCUUUGCAAAUUCAAUGAUCAUGACACACCCUCCAUGCUCGCAUUCUCCCGCUCGAACCUCAUCCCGAGCACAGCUAAGUGAGCUGAUUUUUUGGUGUUCAGACCUUCCGAGAUUGCUGGAAGUGUUGCACCUGCUUCAUUUGGGGAGCGCAGUACUUCAGUGGUCGAAAGGGGUACAACUAAUUGCAAGUAUAUAAACAAGGAGCGAGUGUUAAGAUGCUACGAUGGAGCCAUGGAGGUAACUCACUAAAUGAGCGGAUAAUGUUUUUCAAAUGAGAAUCAUGGAGCUCCGGUGGUUGAAAUACCAAACCCCAUCUUGUUUAGAGAAAUAAAUAAUUCGCACAUGUGGUAGAAUACUUACACGAAUUUGAGAAACUUUGGUCUUAAAAACUGAGGACAUAUGAGUGAGCAAGGAAGAAUACAAGUUUGUUCAAAGCAACAUAAUGUAUUGGUUACUUGACAGGCCAUAUGAGUUUCUGUAGUUACCUAUUUUUGUCUAUCAAAUCGUAAGAUAAUGCAUCAUCUCAAUCUGAGAGGUGUAAAUGAUCAUGUCAUCUAAUAAUCGUAUCUAGGUUUGGCUUUAUUUGGUGACUGGAAUUUUCUAUUGCGAAAAGUUACUGGUGAUGGUACAUUAGAAUUACCAAACUGAACAGGUGGUACUAAAAAGUACUGGAAAAUCUCAAUGCCUAGAUGGUAUGAUGUGCCAUGUUCAUCACCGCCGGGAAUACUUUGAUAGGGCUAAAUUUUGCUCUAUAUGAUUUCCUGGGGGGCUGUUUGGAAGAGAGGGAUUGGGCUAGGAGUUAGUUUAAUUUGUACGUUAGGACAAAGAUGAUUGAGUGAUGAAACUACAGUUGCUAAUUCAGUGUAGAGAUCCUACUUAAUGUACACAUCAACAUUCUUAUAGAGCAAUUUAAUACUGUAACUCUUAUCUUAUUCACCGUUAUUUCUGUUGAAGAUUGUUUGAAAUUAUUAGGCACUGGCCCUCUUCAAGUCCUACUUUAGUGCAACGGUGCAGAGACUAUGCACUUCGGUUAUCCUCAUAAUCCCAGUACCAUAAAUUUUGAAGUUAAAUAUAACCCAGGAAGGCGUACGGUCACCAUUUUCCUCCAAGGUCAGAGAUAUAUGAAAAAUGAAGUCGGUUGUAUUGGAUAUACAAAAAAUAAAUAUGUAUGUUCCUUUAUUUUCUAGGUAAGUGACCAAAUCAUAUUUCCUUUUAUCUGUACUAAUAGAAUUUAGAUAAGCCUGUGCUAAAUGCGACCCUUGUAAGUGCGAUCUUCGAAGUUACGAGCGUUGUUGGAUGGAGAAGAGCGGGUCUUGUAUUAGGCUUCAGCUGUAUCCGAGAAAAAGCAUAGCACCAACUUUUAUAAUGGUCCUAGGUUCCUAUCAGGGCAAUACCAUCAUCCUGCAUACAUUUUAAAAUGCAUUUCAGUUCUAUUACAUAUUGUACACGUACCAACAUGCGUUCCUCUGUUUUCAUUUCUUUGUUGUCCUUAAUGUCAUCUCUUUUUUUACUUUCAUUUAGCAAGUGAAGUAACAACAAUAACUAAUAGGUUCUCCUCGCAUGUUAGGUUUUCUUGGACAUUGUUGAGAGCGUAAACCUUCUUAUGUCUUCUAAAGGGAUUUUAUGUACCAUCAAAUUUUACUUGUCUGUUAUGAGGUUUCUGGUGUCUUCCUGUUCAGCUAUUUGAUAUUCAUUGUGUAUGUUUCUUAAAUUUCUGCAGGGAGAGUUCUAAUAUGUGACGUGACAGGAAAGAUCCUGAUGAAGUGCUUCCUUUCUGGGAUGCCUAUCUGAAGUUGGGACUAAAUGACAAGAUUUAAUUGGCUUAGUAAAUAAAAAACUUGCUAAAGAAAAAUAAGAUUCAAAAUAGAUGUUUUUAUUAUAGAUUAGGAUUCGUGUGUUCUGCCACCGGGUUGACUUCUCAUAUCAGAAGGCAAGCCGUUAGUUCAUAUCGUGCUACUUUCCACUAUUGUAGUGAGAGAGAGAGGGAUUGAGAGGCUCCUACUUUUUGUAUUGUUGUCGAUGCUUGCACAAUGCUAUUGCUUAUUAUACUGGGGUAUUCAUCUUUGGAAUAAAAAACAAUCAUUUUCUC
rnacentral:rRNA from 1 species